UUUUUUUUCCCAACAAUUCACGACCCCAGCGUCUUCUUCAGACGCGAAAGAACCUAGAAUGAUCCAGCAGUCCCAGAAAUCGCGACCCCAACCCAGAAAACGCGUAUCAUACGCGAACCCAGCAACAGCACGUGCUCUCUCUUUUUCCUCUCGUACGAGUAAUGUACUCGAUUUUCCAGAUGUCUCCAUCUUGACGCCUCGCUCGUCCUUGCUCGAAAUCAAACAGUCCUUGCAAAUUUUUUCCGUUGAGAAUGGUACAUUAUAGCUCACACCUUAUCCUCUAAAAAUUUCAAAAUUUCCUGUAGUACCACAUCGAUUCUAGGCUGUGAUGUUGAGAUUUCUCAGCCUCUAUAAAUAGCCUCCUUCUUACUGUUUUAAGGGAUUUCCGGAGUCCAAAGAAUACCCAUAAAAUUUUGGGAAGUCUUGGUCCCAUAGUUCAAAAUUUUAAAGCGUUUUGUGGCUUUCGAGUUGAAGAGGUGGAGUCUUCUUCACUCGUUGUUUUGGUUUGCUGCCCAGGACCAGACUAUUUUUUCCAGUGAGCUCAUGAAUGUGUAUGUUUCUCACUUAGUUAAGUUAGAUUGUGAAUUCUACAGAUCGUCUCAUUUGGGUUGGUUUCACUUGCUCAAAUGUCUUCGGAUUCCUCUUUCCAACAAGUUGAAUCCUAAUCAUUUUUUCUUCUUCUUUACUAGCUUAAUCCGUCGUAGCUUUAGUACUUUAAAUAUUGUUGUCGUUAACUUGGACUCUCUACAUGGUUAUAAGUUGUUUCCUUAACUUAAUAUUGUUUCGUAUUGAUUCUAAUCUUUUUUUUUCCUCUUGUUCUUUGCAUGACUCUCUCCGAAUGAGUCUAAUGGACUCUCCUUUCUUGCAUCUCCUCCUCUAUAGAGUCGACAUCCUCCAAGCCCUUGAAAGCAAAGCUUAAUAUUAUUGGGUUAAAAUUUUAAGAAGACAACAGUAGCAGUGGUUUCAAGUUGCUGGAAAAUCAAAAAAUUGGACUCAAAAGAGUCCAACUUGAACUCAACAGCAUUAACAGUAGCCCAAACGGCUGGAAAUCAAAAUUGGACUUUUAAAAGGUCUAAUUUUGAGCAGUUUGCAGCAGCCAAAUAAAGGCUGAAAGUUGACAAAAAUCACAGUUUUUCUCUUAUCUUGUUUAGUUUAGUUUCUCUUGUUCUCUUAUCAUUGUGUAUUGUGUUCGUUAACCUUUUUAUUUUUAUUAAUUUAGGUGAAUCCUCGGAGGAAUUUUAUAUUAUGAUGUUUGUUACUUUAAAAAUCUCAAACUUUCAAACUCUUUUUAAUUUAA